rnacentral:lncRNA from 1 species
CAAGAAGGCUCAUGGCUUAGGUUGGUGACCUCCAUUGCACCUAGGAGGGGUGCCCGCCUAUGGUCUCCUCAACGUAGGAGAGCCAACGUCAUAAUUUGUUGCAGUGGGGGCCUGCGUUCGCGCGGCCCCUUCCUCAAUUCAAUAUCAACCUUAUGCUGCUGGCUAUCAAAAGAGGCUCAUCCCUCGUUUUCCUUAAAUUGAUUUUUUCUUUUUGUCUGGUAUAAUUGUUUGAUAUAUCCAGCUUUGACGGAGUUUAUUCUUAGCCCAAAAACAUAUAUCAGAAUUUAUUCUAAAUCAACAUGUUCUUCUGCUAAAAAAAAUCAGCAUGUUUGUAGCCAUUACUUUGCUUCCUCAAGUUGAUUUUACUUUUGUCGGUUAGUUUAGUAUUCUAAGUCCAAUAAUUAUUAGUUUAGAUUCCC